AGAGUUUGAUCAUGGCUCAGGAUGAACGCUAGCGGGAGGCCUAACACAUGCAAGCCGAGCGGUAGAGAUCUUUCGGGAUCUUGAGAGCGGCGUACGGGUGCGGAACACGUGUGCAACCUGCCUUUAUCAGGGGGAUAGCCUUUCGAAAGGAAGAUUAAUACCCCAUAAUAUAUUGAAUGGCAUCAUUUGAUAUUGAAAACUCCGGUGGAUAGAGAUGGGCACGCGCAAGAUUAGAUAGUUGGUAGGGUAACGGCCUACCAAGUCAGUGAUCUUUAGGGGGCCUGAGAGGGUGAUCCCCCACACUGGUACUGAGACACGGACCAGACUCCUACGGGAGGCAGCAGUGAGGAAUAUUGGACAAUGGGUGAGAGCCUGAUCCAGCCAUCCCGCGUGAAGGACGACGGCCCUAUGGGUUGUAAACUUCUUUUGUAUAGGGAUAAACCUACUCUCGUGAGAGUAGCUGAAGGUACUAUACGAAUAAGCACCGGCUAACUCCGUGCCAGCAGCCGCGGUAAUACGGAGGGUGCAAGCGUUAUCCGGAUUUAUUGGGUUUAAAGGGUCCGUAGGCGGAUCUGUAAGUCAGUGGUGAAAUCUCAUAGCUUAACUAUGAAACUGCCAUUGAUACUGCAGGUCUUGAGUAAAGUAGAAGUGGCUGGAAUAAGUAGUGUAGCGGUGAAAUGCAUAGAUAUUACUUAGAACACCAAUUGCGAAGGCAGGUCACUA
rnacentral:rRNA from 1 species